UAAGUCUACGGGAGGCAGCAGUGGGGAAUAUUGGACAAUGGGGGGAACCCUGAUCCAGCGACGCCGCGUGAGUGAAGAAGUAUUUCGGUAUGUAAAGCCCUAUCAGCAGGGAAGAAAGAAAUGACGGUACCUGACUAAGAAGCCCCGGCUAACUACGUGCCAGCAACCGCGGUAAUACGUAGGGGGCAAGCGUUAUCCGGAUUUACUGGGUGUAAAGGGAGCGUAGACGGCGAUGCAAGUCUGAAGUGCAAGGCGGGGGCCC
rnacentral:rRNA from 1 species